rnacentral:misc_RNA from 1 species
CGCACAUUGCGCCCGCCAGUAUUCUGGCGGGCAUGCCUGUUCGAGCGUCAUUUCAACCCUCAAGCCCCUCCGGGUUUGGUGUUGGAGAUCGGCGGCGGACCCCCCCGGGGGCCCGGCCGGCUCCCAAAUCUAGUGGCGGUCUCGCCGCGGACUCAUUGCGUAGUAGCUAACACCUCGCAACUGGAACGCGGCGCGGCCAAGCCGUUAAACCCCCAACUUCUGAAUGUUGACCUCGGAUCAGGUAGGAAUACCCGCUGAACUUAA